AGAGUUUGAUCCUGGCUCAGAUUGAACGCUGGCGGCAUGCCUAACACAUGCAAGUCGAACGAGAUCACCUCGGUGGUCUAGUGGCGGACGGGUGAGUAACACAUGGGAAUCUGCCUUUUAGUGGGGGAUAACGUAGGGAAACUUACGCUAAUACCGCAUACGCUCUACGGAGGAAAGGGGGGGAUCGCAAGACCUCUCGCUAAAAGAUGAGCCCAUGUCUGAUUAGCUAGUUGGUGGGGUAAAGGCCUACCAAGGCGAAGAUCAGUAGCCGGCCUGAGAGAGUGUGCGGCCACACUGGGACUGAGACACGGCCCAGACUCCUACGGGAGGCAGCAGUGGGGAAUUUUGGACAAUGGGCGAAAGCCUGAUCCAGCCAUUCCGCGUGAGUGAAGAAGGCCUUCGGGUUGUAAAGCUCUUUCGGCAGGAACGAAAUGGUCACGGUUAAUAACUGUGACUUCUGACGGUACCGGAAUAAGAAGCACCGGCUAACUACGUGCCAGCAGCCGCGGUAAUACGUAGGGUGCGAGCGUUAAUCGGAAUUACUGGGCGUAAAGCGUGCGCAGGCGGUUUUGUAAGACAGGUGUGAAAUCCCCGGGCUCAACCUGGGAACUGCGUUUGUGACUGCAAGGCUAGAGUGUGGCAGAGGGGGGUGGAAUUCCACGUGUAGCAGUGAAAUGCGUAGAGAUGUGGAGGAACACCGAUGGCGAAGGCAGCCCCCUGGGUCAACACUGACGCUCAUGCACGAAAGCGUGGGUAGCAAACAGGAUUAGAUACCCUGGUAGUCCACGCCCUAAACGAUGCCAACUAGGUGUUGGGGAAGGAGACUUCCUUAGUACCGCAGCUAACGCGUGAAGUUGGCCGCCUGGGGAGUACGGUCGCAAGAUUAAAACUCAAAGGAAUUGACGGGGACCCGCACAAGCGGUGGAUGAUGUGGAUUAAUUCGAUGCAACGCGAAAAACCUUACCUACCCUUGACAUGUCCGGAAUCCUGCAGAGAUGUGGGAGUGCUCGAAAGAGAGCCUGAACACAGGUGCUGCAUGGCUGUCGUCAGCUCGUGUCGUGAGAUGUUGGGUUAAGUCCCGCAACGAGCGCAACCCUUGUCAUUAAUUGCCAUCAUUUAGUUGGGCACUUUAAUGAGACUGCCGGUGACAAACCGGAGGAAGGUGGGGAUGACGUCAAGUCCUCAUGGCCCUUAUGGGUAGGGCUUCACACGUCAUACAAUGGUCGGUACAGAGGGUUGCCAAGCCGCGAGGUGGAGCCAAUCCCAGAAAGCCGAUCGUAGUCCGGAUCGUAGGCUGCAACUCGCCUGCGUGAAGUCGGAAUCGCUAGUAAUCGUGGAUCAGCAUGUCACGGUGAAUACGUUCCCGGGUCUUGUACACACCGCCCGUCACACCAUGGGAGCGGGUUCCGCCAGAAGUAGGUAGCCUAACCGCAAGGGGGGCGCUUACCACGGCGGGGUUCGUGACUGGGGUGAAGUCGUAACAAGGUAGCC
rnacentral:rRNA from 1 species